rnacentral:tRNA from 1 species
GAGGGUAUAGCUCAGUGGUAGAGUGUGUGCUUAGCAUGCACAAGGUCCUGGGUUCAAUCGCCAGUAUCUCCA